rnacentral:rRNA from 1 species
CCUACGGGUGGCAGCAGUGAGGAAUAUUGGUCAAUGGACGAGAGUCUGAACCAGCCAAGUAGCGUGAAGGAUGAAUGCCCUAGGGGUUGUAAAAUUCUUUUAUAAAGGAAUAGAACGAGGCACGUGUGCCUUAUUGCACGUCCUUUAAGAAUGAGGAUCGGCUAACUCUGAGCCAGCAGCGGCGGUAAUACGGAGGAUCCGAGCGUUAUCCGGAUUUAUUGGGUUUAAAGGGAGCGUAGAGGGGUUGUUAAGUUAGUUGUGAAAGUUUGCGGCUCAACCGUCAAAUUACUAUUGAUACUGGCAGUCUUGAGUACAGUUGAGGUAGGCGGAAUUCGUAGUGUAGCGGUGAAAUGCUUAGAUAUCACGAAGAACCCCGAUUGCGAAGGCAGCUUACUAAACUGUGACUGACAUUGAUGCUCGAAAGUGUGGGUAUCAAACAGGAUUAGAUACCCGAGUAGUC